CAGUAGCCACGGUAAUACAGAGGGUGCGAGCGUUAAUCGGAUUUACUGGGCGUAAAGCGUGCGUAGGCGGCUUCUUAAGUCGGAUGUGAAAUCCCUGAGCUUAACUUAGGAAUUGCAUUCGAUGCUGGGAAGCUAGAGUAUGGGAGAGGAUGGUAGAAUUCCAGGUGUAGCGGUGAAAUGCGUAGAGAUCUGGAGGAAUACCGAUGGCGAAGGCAGCCAUCUGGCCUAAUACUGACGCUGAGGUACGAAAGCAUGGGGAGCAAACAGGAUUAGAUACCCGGGUAGUCCAUGUCUCUUAUAC
rnacentral:rRNA from 1 species